GGAAGAGUGGACGGCGAGGGCAAACCUGGGUUGACGGCAAUUAUUUCAGCCAUAUCUCACUUUGCUAGGCAAGUCCGGGAGGGAGGUGUAUUGAUGUGGAUUGCAUUCAAAGUAGUAUCACUGUUCCACCUGGUCUGCUGUGGAGAAGGACUUCAAAAGGACAUUGUAUUUUAUUUCACUGUCACCUGGCAUGAAUGGAAACUUCUGGGAGCUAUACAGCUGGAAGGAUCCCAACCUCCGAAGAGGUGCUUUGAACUUGACAGCAAUUUUUGAUCAACCUAUUUGUGUGAAUCUGCUUUUUCCUCACAUGAUCAUUAAGUCAAAUGUACAGAUCCACAAUGACAGAUGACCAGUGUGUGGCUUGCCUAAGGCUUGCAACCAGCUCCUUUUGCCCCGACUAUGAGAAACCAACUGCCUCCUCCAGUGCCAGCCGUUAUUUAUUUCCACUUAUCCAACUCAGAACUAAAUUUCUUUUUUCACCUGGAUUAUUUUCCGUUUGUGUGCCUAUUGAAUGUGUGCAUAGGCUUCAGUACAAAGUAAUAAUCUUGGUAAGUAUUGCAGGGCUCUUGUAUUAGUUAAUUACAUCAUAGAAAGUGUUUUUCUGGUCACUUGUUUCUGGAUUAUUUUGUGAAAGGGGGGUGGGGGGACCACAAAGAUUCAUGUUGAAGAAUUAAACAUCUUUAUUAAAACCCAA